rnacentral:rRNA from 1 species
UACGUAGGGGGCUAGCGUUGUCCGGAAUCAUUGGGCGUAAAGAGCGUGUAGGCGGCCCGGUAAGUCCGCUGUGAAAGUCGGGGGCUCAACCCUCGAAUGCCGGUGGAUACUGUCGGGCUAGAGUGCGGAAGAGGCGAGUGGAAUUCCUGGUGUAGCGGUGAAAUGCGCAGAUAUCCGGAGGAACACCGGUGGCGAAGGCGGCUUCCUGGACCGACACUGACGCUGAGGCGCGAAAGCGUGGGGAGCAAACAGG